rnacentral:lncRNA from 1 species
GAGAAACUUACAAGGUCUUUGGCUAGCAAGGUAAUGUAAACAUUUGGAAUUGAGAUUCGAAGUAGAAUCUUCUGGAGAAGAAAAGCCCCAAGGCAACAAUGAAGAAACGAGGGAGAAAUAUCUGAAAAUCUGUUAUUUUGAUAUAAAAUGAACCUUGGUCCCUAAAUGAAUCUAACUAUUAUGUAUAUAUAUAUAUUUACAAGUACAUAUGGGCUGGGUCGCACCAUUUAAAUACAAAUAGAUCUGCAUCUGCUUAUUUGUGGUUUGUGGGUUGCUGCUGCUUUGAGACGGGCUGUUGUAUAUUGGGUUGUGAAUCAUCAUAUUGGGCUCUGACACCCCCCCUCCAAGCUGGAAGGGGAACCUAUUCCAAGCUUGGAAAUAAAGGCCUGCUGUUGAAUCUCCAGAAGAGACUUAGUGAAGAUAUCAACCAAUCGAGAAGUAGUUGAAAUGGAAUAAAGACUGAUGACCCCAACAGACAGAGCAUUGCACACAAAAUGACAAUCUAAUUUGAUGUGUUUAGUCCGUUCAUGAAACACAUGGUUCUUACAAAUAUGAACCGCUGCUUGAUUGUUCACAGAAUACAUCAACAGGUGUGAGAGAAGAAAUCCCAAGUUCACCAAGCAACCACAGAAUCCAGGUGAUCUCAGCAACCAACAAUCGUAAUGCUCUAUACUCUGCCUCAGUAGAAGAAAAUGCAAUAGUAGGUUGUUUCUUGGAUUUCCAAGAGACGGGGCACCCACCAAGAAAUAAAAUAAAGCCACUAAUUGACUUUCUAGAAUCACUACAACUAGCCCAGUCAGAGUCACAAUAACCUUAAAGUGAAAAAUCAAAAGCAGCAGAAAGACGCAAACCUAAGCAAGAAGUACCAGCCAAGUAUCGAAACAUGUGCAAAGCAGCAUCUAAAUGAGGAACUCUAGGUGUUGACAUAAACCGACUUAAAUGUUGAAAAGUGUAAGACAAAUCAGGUCUAGUAUAUUGAAGAUAUUGAGUUUCCCCACAAGUCGUCUGUACAUAGAACGAUCAUGCAAAAUAUCACCAAAUUCAGCAUACAAUUUGACAUGUGGAUCAAGGGGAGCCACCACAGAGGAGACAUCAGAAUAGUGAAAUUCAGAAAGCAUAACCAUAAUAAACUUAUGUUGACUAAUGAGAAAACCAGAAUGCUCUUUAGUAAUUUCUAAAACAAAAAAAUAAUGAAUUUCCCCAAGGUCCUUAAUCUUAAAUGCACUAUCCAGAAAAUGUUUAAGGUUGUUAAUUUCGGUCAAAUUAUCCCAGCAACUAGAAUAUUAUCAACAUACACAACAAUCACAAUUAAAGAUCCAUUAACCGACUUAGUAAACUAAGAGUAAUCAUUGAGACUAGGAUGAAAACCUUUAGAUUGAAGAGCUGAUGAUAAUUUGGCAUACCAUUGCCCUGAGGCAUGCCUCAGUCCAUAAAGAGACUUAUUUAACUUGCAAGCAAGAGUUGAUGAAGAGGUAGGAAAAUCAGAUUGCACAGUUAGACCAGGAGGGAGCUUCAUAAACAUUUCUUCAUCCAAAUCCCCAUGUAAAAAUGCAUUAUUAAUAUCCAUUUGGAAAACAGUCUAAAUUCUUGUCACAACAAUAGACAAUAAACAUCUGAUAUUGGUAAGCAGUUUUACCACAAGAGAAAAUAUUUUAGUGAAAUCAAUACUUUCAUGUUAACUGUCCCCCUUAAAGACUAGUCUAGCUUUAUACCGUUCAAUAGAGCCCAUCAGCCUUUUGUUUAAUCUUAUACACCCAUUUACAAGGAAUGGCCUUCUUCCCUGGAGGAAGAGGUACAACAGUCCAAGUGUUUUUAGCCUCCAAGGCCUGAAAUUCUUUAACCAUUGCAUCCUGCCAAGCAUUAUUGGAUACUACUUGAUGAUAAAACUGAGGUUCCAGCAUACAAGACUCGGGAAUUGAAAAAGUAGGUUUAGAAUUAGACACAGAGGUACACACAUAAUCAUCCAAAUAUCCAGGAGGUUGAUUAACUCUGGUGGACUUUCUGAGAGUAGGAACAUGGGGAUCACAUGGAAGAAGUCUGAGAGAUCUUCAGAGAGGAGGAACAAAUGUGCAUGAAGGAAUAAAAGUAGAAGAUGGAAUAGUAGGCAAAGAAGUUGAAGAAGGGAGAGGAUAUGGAGAAGAGUCAGGAUUAUUCAUAGGAGAAGGUGCAAGAUCAGAAUCAAAAGAGAAAGGAGAAAAUAGAUGAACAUAGGAAGAAUCAGAGAAAGGGAAGACAUGUUCAUGGAAAACUACAUCUCUAGAAUGAAAAAUAGUAGAAGAGGACAAAUUCAGAAGCUUAUAAGCUUUCUUCCCAGGACUAUAACCAAUGAAAACAUAUGAUAUUGUUCUGGAUUUGAAUUUAUCUCUAUGAGGUUUUGGCACAACAGCAAAGGCUAAACAUCCAAAUGCCUUAAGGUGAGAAAAAAAAGAGGAACACCAUGUAGAAGUUCAAAAGGAGAUUUGUGGUGUAAUAAGGGAGAAAGAAACUUGUUUAUUAAAUAGGUGGAAGUUAGUACACAUUCACCCUAGUACUUGAUAGGUAGGUUAGAUUGGAAAAGAAGUACUCUUGCCGUUUCUAGCAAAUAUUUAUGUUUUCGUUCUACCACAUCAUUUUGUUGAGGUGGUGUGACCACAAAGUUUGAUGUAAUAUGCCUUGAGCAGAGGAGAAAGAGGUUGCCUCAGAACUACUGCCUGACUCAAAAACAUUGUCACACCUAAAAGCUUUGACAGGAUAACCAAACUGAGUUUAGAUCAUAACCACAAAAGACUUAAGUAUGGUGAAAGCAUUUGAUUGGGAUGACAAUAAAUGAGUCCAUGUUGCAUUGGUAUAGUCAUCUACAAAAGCAAUAAAAUAUUUGAAAUUAUUAUAUGUUUGUGUAUGAUAAGGUCUCCAAAGGUCAACAUGUACCAAUUAAAAAGGGACAGUUGAGUGAAUGGUACUCUCAGAAAAAGGAGGUCUUUGCUGCCUUGCCAUGGGGCAUAUAGGACAUAGAAAAGUUUGCUUCUUAGGUAACUUGUCAAAAAGGAAAGCCAUGGAUUUCAUUUUAGCAAAUGGAAUAUGACCUAAUCUAAGUGCCAUGCAUGAUCAAAAGACAAGCCAGAAAAUGCGUUACUAACAGGUACAUUAAUCAAAGAAUUAACAGAACCAGAAGUGAAAUUUAAUCUGCUAUUAUUGAGAAUAUCACCAAUGGAAGUAAUGGUAUUUACAAAUAAAGAAUCAUAGGAAUGAAUGGGGGAGAGAUUAUCUGAAUCAGUGGCGGAUUCAGGAUUUUAAAGUCAUGGGUGCUGAUCAAUAAAAAUUCCAAAAAAAGAGAAAAAAUGAGUUUAAUUGCGGGUGCUCACUUAUUAUUUAUAUACAUAUUUUUAUAAUUGCCUAUGCAAAUUUACUACACAUAGUCAAAAAUAAUGGGUGCUUAAGCACCCACCAAUGCCAAUGUGGAUCCGCCACUGAUCUAAAUGCAAGAGGUAUAAGCCCUUCUGAAGUUUACCAAGAACUAGUGGCUUCUUCAAAAAAGGGCUCUGCAAUAAAAUGCAAUCAGUUGAAGUGAAUAAGGCAUAAUUGGUGAGGUGAUGCAACAACUAAGAUAGAGAAAGCAGAUUAUAAUGAAAAGAAGGUACAAACAACAUAUUAGGAAGGGAAAUAUCGGAAGAAAUACUAAGUGCCCCAGUGCAAGUCACUUUAACCUUGUACCCAUUAGGAAGACUCACAAGGUAAGGAAAAAGUAAAGGUUUUAUAUCCUUAAGGAGAUAUCUGUGGGGUGUCAUGUAAUUAUUAGCCCCAGAGUCUAUAAUCCAAACACUACUCUCUAUCCUAGAGACAUUACAACCAAGAAUACCACCAGAAUUAAAAUCAAUAGAAUUUACCAGACCUGCAAAAUUUGUAGAAUCGGAGGCCAAGUCUUGAGGAGAAGAGGACACCUUGGACUGCUGAAGGAGUGAGAUGAGAUGAUCAUACUGCUCCUUGGUGAGAACAUGAGUUCCUAUAUCAGUUGGAAUCACCUUGGAAUUGUUUGUUCCUGAAUCUUCAGUUUGUCCCACCAUUUGAGUAUCAGACACUUGUGCAUAAAUAGCAACUCUCUUAAAUUUGUUCCCAAAACCAGGAGGAUAUCCAUAUAAUUUAUAACAUCUAUCAAUAGAGCGUCCAGGCCUUUUACAAUACUUGCAUACAACAUUGGAAUUGGGCUUCUUAGUGGUAUCAAAAUUGAUUGUUUGAGUAUAAGACUUAUGAACAGCAGUCAAAAAAGAAGUAGAUUCUGAGUUGAAAGAAGGAAUGGAGUUCUUGACUCUCAUCCUCAAUAAGCAUCCCAUACACAUUGUCAAUAUCCGGCAAUGUCAUUAUCAUGAGAAUAUUUCUUCUAAUGUUUGAAUAGUUCUCAUUUAACGCCAUACAAAAUUGAUGAACCUUUUGAUCCUCCUCCAGCUUUAGAAAAGCUUCCUCACACCCACACACAUAAGGAGGAUAGGAAAUGGAAAAUGCCAAUUCAUCCCAAAUUUCUUAAUUCUAUUGAAAUAUCAAGCUAUACUUGAAGACUCCUGAGAAAUAGAAGAUAUUUACUUGCGUAUUUGGAACACUUUACUUCCAUUUGGCUUUUCAUAACGUUGUUCAAUUUUCUUCCACAACUUCUCAGCAGAUUCCGUAUACAUGACACUCUCUCUGAUCUCCAAAGCUAAACUGCUUAAAAAGUCCAUGCUAUAACCAUGUCGUUACAACGACACCAUGGCUCUUACAAAGGAGAAUCCUUACUCGGCUUUACAAUAGACCCAUUAAUCAAACCCAAUUUGUUCUUGCACAAGAGGCCGAUGAGCAUUCCUCCCCGCCAACUUCCAUAAUCUAAACCGUUAAAUAUAGUAGCCACUAUCUCGGUUCCAGAAGAAUCUGAAGGAUACAAAUAUAGUGGAUGUGAUGGCUCGACUGUCAUAGCAGUCGAACCAGAAGAAGACCUAGUGACAUUCGAAAUACAAUCAUUAUUUUUGACAAAAUUAGGGAUUCAAUAUAUAUCAAUUGUCAAAAUGGAUGAAUCAGUUAUUCAAACAAACAAUUAAGUAGAAGAUUGAACUCUCAGCACCCAAUAUGAUCAACAAAAUGAAGAAAUCGAAGCCCUAAAUCAGAAAAUUGACCGAGAGAAGAGAACUCAACUUCGUCACAAAAAAAACUUUGAAUCAAAAUUUGACAGCAACGGCGGAUGAAGACUUGACCACGAGCUAACGAACGUCGGCUCUGAUACCAUGCUCUGAUACCAUGUAAACAUUUGGAAUUCAGAUUCAACAUAGAACCUUCUGGAGAAGAAAAGCCCUAAGGGAACAAUGAAGAAACGAGAGAGAAAUAUAUGAGAAUAUGUUAUUUUGAUAUAAAAUGAACAUUGGUCCUUAAAUAAAUCUAACUAUUUUGUGUGUGUGUGUGUCUAUAUAUCUAUAUAUAUCUAUAUAUAUAUAUAUAUAUAAGUACAACUGGGUCGGGUCUCACCCUUUAAAUACAAAUAGAUCUGCAUCUGUUUAUUUGUGGUUUGUGGGCUGCUGCUGCUUUUGAGAGGGGCUGUUGUAUGUUGGGCUGUGAAUCAUCAUAUUGGGAAAGGAUUCAUCCCAAGCUCUCAUGCAAUCUUCAAUAAUGUAAUUGCAUAUAGAAUUUGAGUAUUGGAACUUAUGGGAUAGUUAUUGGAAACCAUAAGUCUGCAAAUUUGAGUUGGGUGUUGUAAAAAAUUGGGAGAUGGGUUGUUAGAUGUAGUUGUUGGUUGGGUGUAGUUGGGUGAUCAUACAUGUAUUGUUGAAUGUCAAUUACUAUCUAAGGAUGGUUAUCGGUCUGAAUAUUGUCACAGAAGGGGGUUGAGGGAUAAAGAAAACCCCUUUACUAGAUAUAGUGUAGGGUUAUGCACUAUAAGCAUCUGAUAAAAU